CUCAGCAAGGUGCAGGCUGGCCUUUAUAUUCCGUCAACUGCAACUCUGCGCUCAGAGAGACAGCGGCCUGCAGGCAACAAGAGGUUACAGCACAAAAGACCGUCCACAAAAUCGACGCCCCCUAUUGUUCAGCAGUUCGUGUCUCAUACCCGCGCAAUGGGCAAGGCAGGCGUGCUGGUGCUGGCGCUGGUGGCGCUCACGUGCACUCAUGAGUGUCAGGCGUAUGACUGGUCAGCUGUUAUAAACUUGCUUUCCGGCAAAAUUUUAGCGUUGUGGAAGAAUGACGCCGUGCAGUUCAUGGGGUCGCAGUGUCACUACACGCGAAUCGAAUGACUAAUACAUCGAAUGACCGAAAGUCAUUCGAUGGCAGCUCUACUAUGUUGGAAAUUUCGCGUGUGACAAAUUUUUCGGCAUCGAAGGCAGUGGCCAGGGUCAAAAUCCUGCGACGGUAAAAAGAAACAGCAUCAUCGACUUCCUGAACAAAGCUCAAGCGGCAGGACUCUUGCCUAAAGAAGAAGUCGAUAAAUGGCUACAAGGAUGAGCUGUUCAGCGUGCAGUAAAUUCUGUUCUGUUGGGUUUUCUCUGGGUAUAAUUGGCGUAUUCCUAAUCUAGUUACACGAUUUCUCGCUUAUAAUUUAAUAUCUAGGAAUUUGAGGGUCAAUUUAGAAAAGCUUAAUAAUGCUGGUCACAUUUGCAAACGCAACAGUGCAGGCAUUAUGAUGCUCUUCUGGGGGACUUUAUUCAGGAAGAUAAUAACAUUUGUUGCAUGCGGUCAACAUGAGACAAAAUCAUGCUAUGCCAUCAUGUCGGUCAUACCCUUUGUUAUGAAAAGCAUAUCGUAUAACUAUUUGUUUAUUUGAGUCUGUAUUUAUCUCUGUUAUUCUGAAAAUUUCUGAG